AACAAAAAUUAUUAAGGUUCUAAUGUCCAACCAGAUCGGUUAUAUUUUUAACCAUUUGUUUAAAAAUAUAACCGAUCUUCUACCAAGUGCCCACCCAGUGUUUUGUCAAAAUAUAUUGGUAAAGUUGUAUAGAUAAAUAAAUGAAAUUAGUUCAAUAAUUUUAUUUUAUUUAUUUACUUUUUUGCUGAUAGUGCCGUGAAAUAGGUAUUAAUUUUCCAUAUGGCUUUAGAAAGAUCUUAAACAGACUUAAAUUUAAGUUGAAGAAACCUGUAGGAACACUUUUAUAGCUUUGGGGAGAUAUGUUGUGUAGUCAUGAUUACUUUUUGGUGGAAAAUAUAUUUUACAGGGGGAAAUAUGUUAGUUUUUUAAGCUUUUUAUGUUCGUAUCUGAGUUCUACACCUGAUGGGCUUUAUUAUUAUGGUUAGAGUGCUAAUCUGAUAUGUGUAAUUAUAUAAACAUUUUGCUCAGUCAAGUGUCAACAGAAUAACAUGAAUGUUUUCAUAGUGAAUGAAUGUUGUCAUUGUAUCACCAAGGUCUGAGGAAGACAGGGUGCAGGCACGAAAAAGACGGAGAGAGGAAAGAGUAAAACAGGGCCUGGAAGUGGUCCCUCCUAAGAAGUCCUGCCAUACUGAAUUAGUCUGUGCAGCAUCAGGAGAAUUCUCUGCUUGAGGACACCUUUGAGGCAGCAAGGUGGUGUACCACAAGGUCCUUCAAAGGAAGCCUUUCCCUUCCCCAGGUCAUCACCAUGGACAGGGAAGCUUGCCGGAGGGCAGUGGAGAGGUUAUGCUUCUGUGAUGGCCUGGAUGAAGAGGAGAUGAACGAUUGCAGGGAACCGUUCCUGUUCAUGUUUAGUUUUCAGUCAGACUAUGAGGAGUUCUGCAGAGAAAUUGAGGAAAAAAGGAAGAUGAAGGUGUUUUCUGGUUUUGAAAUGCCAUAGUACAGCGGUGUCACAGUUUUUGCAUUCUUUUUCCUCCUCACAUUGUUUUUUUGGAGGUUCUCUUGUUUUUUGUGUGCUUUUUGGUUCAUUUGUUUGUACUUUUUUUUAUUCCUGUGUUGGCUGUUGUUUGCUCUAUUAAAUUUACCUUUUUUGAAAAAUUUAGUCUGCAUUCUUGGGUGUCUCACACAAUGUCUCACCACCCCGCCUCAAACCCUGGCGUGUUUUAAGAAGUAUCAGCACAAUUUAAGUUUCUGUUC